rnacentral:rRNA from 1 species
CAGGGAUGCCUCAGUAACGGCGAGUGAAGCGGCAAAAGCUCAAAUUUGAAAUCUGGCUCUUUCAGGGUCCGAGUUGUAAUUUGUAGAAGAUGUUUCGGGUGUGGCUCCGGUUUAAGUUCUUUGGAAUAUUACAUCAUAGAGGGUGAGAAUCCCGUAUGUGACCGGCAGCCUUCGCCCAUGUGAAACUCUUUCGACGAGUCGAGUUGUUUGGGAAUGCAGCUCAAAAUGGGAGGUAUAUUUCUUCUAAAGCUAAAUAUUGGCCAGAGACCGAUAGCGCACAAGUAGAGUGAUCGAAAGAUGAAAAGCACUUUGGAAAGAGAGUUAAACAGUACGUGAAAUUGUUGAAAGGGAAGCGCUUGCAAUCAGACUUGCACGCAGUUGAUCAUCCGGUGUUCUCACCGGGGCACUCUGCUGCGUUCAGGCCAGCAUCGGUUUCGGUGGUUGGAUAAAAGCCUUGGGAAUGUGGCUUCCUUCGGGGAGUGUUAUAGCCCUCGGUGCAAUGCAGCCUACCGGGACCGAGGACCGCGCUUCGGCUAGGAUGCUGGCGUAAUGGUUGUAAGCGACCCGUCUUGAAACACGGACCAAGGAGUCUAACAUCUAUGCGAGUGUUUGGGUGUCAAACCCAUACGCGUAAUGAAAGUGAACGGAGGUGAGAACCCUUAAGGGUGCAUCAUCGACCGGUCCUGAUGUCUUCGGAUGGAUCUGAGUAAGAGCAUAGCUGUUGGGACCCGAAAGAUGGUGAACUAUGCGUGAAUAGGGUGAAGCCAGAGGAAACUCUGGUGGAGGCUCGCAGCGGUUCUGACGUGCAAAUCGAUCGUCAAAUUUGCGCAUAGGGGCGAAAGACUUAUCGAACCAUUGAACACCUACUAGGUGGUUAAGAGGCCUGCGCGGCCUAGUCCUCACCGAGGGCGACAUUGUCAAAUUGUUCGGGGACCUCCUGAUAACUCCCAGACUACCGCAGCCCGCCCGAAAGGGGGGUGCGCACCGGGCUAACGACCCUGGGGAUGGUAACAACGUCUGGGUAGGGAAGAUCCGCAGCCAAGUCCUACCGCCCCCCGGGGCCACGGAUGCAGUUCACAGACUUGAAGGCAGUGGGCUCCCGCGGGAGCUUAAGAUAAAGUCGACCCCCCCGGAGACGGGGUGGAGGGAGGAGAGUGCGGCGCACUCGGAGUCCUCCAGGGCUCUGCGAGCCCGAGC